AUGGGUCCACAAUUAGGGUUUGAUAUUUCUCAAGCAACAUUGGGUUUCCAAGGUCUCAAGUGGAUUUCACUAUUCUUCAUAUGUAUUCAAGAAUGCUCGUAUCAAAUUUCAUGCCUUGCAUCACAAGUUUGCUCAGUCAAUGGUUCAGAUG